rnacentral:misc_RNA from 1 species
GAUGAAGAACGUAGCGAAAUGCGAUACGUAAUGUGAAUUGCAGAAUUCAGUGAAUCAUCGAGUCUUUGAACGCACAUUGCGCCCCCUGGUAUUCCGGGGGGCAUGCCUGUCCGAGCGUCAUUGCUGCCCUCAAGCACGGCUUGUGUGUUGGGCCUCCGUCCUCCUCCCGGGGGACGGGCCCGAAAGGCAGCGGCGGCACCGCGUCCGGUCCUCGAGCGUAUGGGGCUUCGUCACCCGCUCUUGUAGGCCCGGCCGGCGCUUGCCGACACAUCAAUCUUUUUUCCAGGUUGACCUCGGAUCAGGUAGGGAUACCCGCUGAACUUAAGCAUAUCAAUAAACGGAUGA